AUUAAUUUUCUUGCCCUAGGUGCCCCGCUACAACAAACAGAGUUGGGGCGGGGUUAAACGGGAAGUCCGGUGAAAAUCCGGCGCUGGCCCGCAACCGUAACCGGGGACGAAAGCCGCUAGGCCCAAUUGGGCGACAGGCCACUGGGGCUUAAGGCCGAAAGGCCAAAGGCCCUGGGAAGGCGCGGUGAGUAGGAUGAUCCGGAAGCCGGGAGACCGGCCUAGGGCAUGCUAGGACG
rnacentral:ncRNA from 2 species